AAAGCGUGCGCAGGCGGUUCGGAAAGAAGGAUGUGAAAUCCCAGGGCUUAACCUUGGAACUGCAUUCUUAACUACCGGGCUAGAGUAUGUCAGAGGGGGGUGGAAUUCCGCGUGUAGCAGUGAAAUGCGUAGAUAUGCGGAGGAACACCGAUGGCGAAGGCAGCCCCCUGGGAUAAUACUGACGCUCAUGCACGAAAGCGUGGGGAGCAAACAGGAUUAGAUACCCGUGU
rnacentral:rRNA from 1 species